rnacentral:rRNA from 1 species
UACGUAGGUGGCGAGCGUUGUCCGGAUUUACUGGGCGUAAAGAGCGCGCAGGCGGCUGGUCAAGUCCGAUGUGAAAGCUCCCGGCUUAACUGGGAAAUUGCAUCGGAAACUGAUCGGCUGGAAGGUGGGAGAGGGUAGCGGAAUUCCUGGUGUAGUGGUGAAAUGCGUAGAUAUCGGGAGGAACACCAGUGGCGAAAGCGGCUACCUGGCCCAUUCUUGACGCUGAGGCGCGAAAGCUAGGGGAGCAAACGGG